AUGAAGCGGGUGACAAGAGUGAUUGUGCUCCUGAUCCUGGGCACCGGGAGCCUUGCUGAGACCACUCAGCCCAUCUCCAUGGACUCCUAUGAGGGCCAAGACGUGAACUUGACCUGUAACCACCCCAACAUUGCUACAAAUGAGUACAUCUUCUGGUACCGACAGGUCCACCACCAGGGACCACGCUUUGUUAUUCAAGGAUAUAAGACAAAUGGGGCAAAUGAAGUAGCAUCUCUGUUUAUCCCUGAAGAUAGGAAGUCCAGCACCCUGAGCCUGCGCCACGUUGCUCUGAGAGACACUGGUGUGUACUACUGCAUCGUGCGUGGAGCACAGUGA